rnacentral:rRNA from 1 species
UACGUAGGGGGCAAGCGUUAUCCGGAUUUACUGGGUGUAAAGGGAGCGUAGACGGCUGUGCAAGCCAGAUGUGAAAGCCCGGGGCUCAACCCCGGGACUGCAUUUGGAGCUGUGUAGCUGGAGUGUCGGAGAGGCAGGCGGAAUUCCUAGUGUAGCGGUGAAAUGCGUAGAUAUUAGGAGGAACACCAGUGGCGAAGGCGGCCUGCUGGACGAUGACUGACGUUGAGGCUCGAAAGCGUGGGGAGCAAACAGG